CGGGGGGGGCAAGCGUUGUUCGGAAUUACUGGGCGUAAAGGGCUCGUAGGUGGCCAACUAAGUCGGACGUGAAAUCCCUCGGCUUAACCGGGGAACUGCGUCCGAUACUGGUUGGCUUGAGUUUGGGAGAGGGAUGCGGAAUUCCAGGUGUAGCGGUGAAAUGCGUAGAUAUCUGGAGGAACACCGGUGGCGAAGGCGGCAUCCUGGACCAAUACUGACGCUGAGGAGCGAAAGCCAGGGGAGCAAACGGGAUUAGAUACCCCGGUAGUCCUGGCCCUAAACGAUGAAUGCUUGGUGUGGCGGGUAUCGAUCCCUGCCGUGCCGAAGCUAACGCAUUAAGCAUCCCGCCUGGGGAGUACGGUCGCAAGGCUG
rnacentral:rRNA from 1 species